rnacentral:lncRNA from 1 species
UAGCUCCCAAGAGAGUAUCAACACCAGCAUACUUGCAAGAUUUGACAUAAACAACACCUUGAACAGCUAUAAAGCUUCUAGGGAGGGGAGUAGGAUGCAAUGGUGGGUGUGCUGGAGCAGGUGGGUGUAAUGGAGGGUGAGUUGGAACAACAGGGGUGUGAACGGGUGGGUGUAGUGGUGGAUGUGCUGGAGCAACAGGUGUGUGGACAGGUGUAGGAGCAGGAGGGUGAGGAUGAUGGUGGUGGUGGCCGUGAGUUGGUGGUUUAGCAGGUACAGGAGCAGAAUGGUAAGGAGGGUGUAGAGGGGUGUGAAUAGGAGAAGGAGAAGGAGUAGGAGUAGGAGCAGGGGUUGGUGAGUGAAUGUGGUGGUGGUGAUGGUGGUGAGGGGCGUUAGCCGGUGGGUGAAGUGGAGCUGGUGUUGUGUGAGGAGGGUAAGUUGGGGUAAGAGUUUCAAGCUCUUCUGCAAAUGUAGUGAAAGAGAUGAGUUGGAGUAAGAGUAGCAACAUUGCAAGGGUUUUAGCCAUUUCUCAAAGUGUAAGAGAAAGUAACCCUAGAAAGAGAGAGGAAGAGGAUGUGAUGUUGGU